GUUGUUGGAUUCAACUCAAUCCACAUGUGUUGAGGUGGAUUAGAGUGGAACUUGAACUAAAUUCCACCCUAAUCCACCCCAACAUAUGUGGAUUGAUGCGAAUACGACU
rfam:Sorghum bicolor cultivar BTx623 chromosome 1, whole genome shotgun sequence.